GAACUCGAAUCCGAACAGGACAGGUUUACCCAAGCUAAACGGGUAUGGAUUCGGUUAUGGGUAUAGAAAAUAAAAAUCCGACGGAUAUGAAUACGAGUAUGGAUUUUGUAUUUACCCGACCCGAACGCGAACCUGAACGUGAAUAAAUUAUAUAUAUACAUAAUUUAUUUUUAUUUAUUUAUAUAAUAUAUAAAAUAUUUAAAUAAUUUUUUAUCCCUUACAUCUUCAUCCAACGGUAUGGAUUUUUAAAAUCCGUUGGGUUCAGAUCCAGAUCCGGGUUCGGGUUUCGGGCUUUUGGUCGGGUACGGAUAUGGGUAUGAAUUUUUAAAACCCGCUGAGUUCGAAUUUUAAUUUGGUUUUCAUGUUCGGAUUCGAGUUUUUGAAAACCUGACCCAUUGACAUCCCUAGUUUUAAUUGUAUCACUGUAGUAUCCU
rnacentral:lncRNA from 1 species